rnacentral:misc_RNA from 1 species
GAUGAAGAACGCAGCGAAAUGCGAUACUUGGUGUGAAUUGCAGAAUCCCGUGAACCAUCGAGUCUUUGAACGCAAGUUGCGCCCGAAGCCACUAGGCCGAGGGCACGCCUGCCUGGGCGUCACACGCCGUUGCCCCCCCAUCUACUCCUUCGGGAUUGCGGGGGGGCGGAUGAUGGCCUCCCGUGCGCCUAGCCGCGCGGUUGGCAUAAAUACCAAGUCCUCGGCGACGCACGCCACGACAAUCGGUGGUUGCGAAACCUCGGUUGCCCGUCGUGUGCGUUCGUCGCGCGUCGAGGGCUCGAAAAAAUGCUCGGCUCCGGCUGGGCUUUCAACGCGACCCCAGGUCAGGCGGGGUUACCCGCUGAAUUUAAGCAUAUCAAUAAGCGGAGGA